UCGGGAAUAUUGCGCAAUGGAGGAAACUCUGACGCAGUGACGCCGCGUAUAGGAAGAAGGUUUUCGGAUUGUAAACUAUUGUCGUUAGGGAAGAAAAAGACAGUACCUAAGGAGGAAGCUCCGGCUAACUACGUGCCAGCAGCCGCGGUAAUACGUAGGGAGCAAGCGUUAUCCGGAUUUAUUGGGUGUAAAGGGUGCGUAGACGGGCGAUCAAGUUAGUUGUGAAAUCCCUCGGCUCAACUGAGGAACUGCAACUAAAACUGGUUGUCUUGAGUGCAGGAGAGGUAAGUGGAAUUCCUAGUGUAGCGGUGAAAUGCGUAGAUAUUAGGAGGAACACCAGUGGCGAAGGCGACUUACUGGACUGUAACUGACGUUGAGGCACGAAAGUGUGGGGAGCAAACAGGAUUAGAUACC
rnacentral:rRNA from 1 species